rnacentral:lncRNA from 1 species
CUAUGUACAGAGAUAGAAGGGAAGUGUGGAUACAGGGACCCAAUGCUCUGUGCUCCUAUGUCCCCCCACCAGUGGGCCAAUAUCCAAAGACCUUGAGUGCAAGGGGCUACUGACAACGAACAAUAUUUAUGGACUGCCCGAAGAACAGUGGACCUUGGCGUGGGCCGGGUAACCCACCCACUAGUUCAUGGUCAUCCCUGACUGCCCCUAUCCCUUGCUCAUGAGAAAAUUGCUCUCCAAAAUGGCUUGUGUGGGCUAAAAUGGCUGGGUGAGGCCAUGUGUAUACAUAUCUACAGACUGUGUAUGUGGAGCUUAAGACCUGUCUCAGUGCACCAGUACCUGAUGCUGGGAGAUGUGUGUGUGUGGCUUAGUGCCGUUCUGCCUGGAACACAUCAUUCCUGCCAGCCAGGCUCUGACAAUUAUCACCCAAUCCAGGACUUAAACUGCGGUAGAGUGGCUGAUGUUUUGCCUUUAAAUGAAAUGUACCAGAGGAUGGGAUCACUGAUCAGCUGACAUGGACUAGAUUCUCCACCUGUUGGGGGUAAUCUGGUCACCUUGCUGCCCAAUCCUGACCUGGAGCCACCACAGCACAAGUGUCAAGCACUGACAGAAGCCCAUGGGUGGAGGAAAGACCUCUGCGACUGGCUGACUGACCCCUGAUGAAAGCCGAGGACCUUGUCCACAGACGGGAACAGUUCUCUUCAUGAA